UACGUAGGGUGCGAGCGUUGUCCGGAAUUAUUGGGCGUAAAGAGCUUGUAGGCGGCUUUGCAAGUCGGGUGUGAAAGCCCUCGGCUCAACCGAGGAAGUGCGCCCGAAACUGCAGAGCUUGAGUACCGGAGAGGGUGGCGGAAUUCCCCAAGUAGAGGUGAAAUUCGUAGAUAUGGGGGAGGAACACCGGUGGCGAAGGCGGCCACCUGGACGGAUACUGACGCUGAGACGCGAAAGCGUGGGUAGCAAACAGG
rnacentral:rRNA from 1 species